UAUCAGGGCAUUUGGUCUAGUGGUAUAAUUCUCGCUUUGGGUGCGAGAGGUCCCGAGUUCAAUUCUCGGAAUGCCCCU
rnacentral:tRNA from 1 species